AACGAACGCUGGCGGCAGGCUUAACACAUGCAAGUCGAACGCAUCCUUCGGGGUGAGUGGCAGACGGGUGAGUAACGCGUGGGAACGUGCCCUUCAGUUCGGAAUAACCCAGGGAAACUUGGGCUAAUACCGGAUACGUGCGAGAGCAGAAAGAUUUAUCGCUGAAGGAUCGGCCCGCGUCUGAUUAGCUAGUUGGUGAGGUAAUGGCUCACCAAGGCGACGAUCAGUAGCUGGUCUGAGAGGAUGAUCAGCCACAUUGGGACUGAGACACGGCCCAAACUCCUACGGGAGGCAGCAGUGGGGAAUAUUGGACAAUGGGCGCAAGCCUGACCCAGCCAUGCCGCGUGAGUGAUGACGGCCUUAGGGUUGUAAAGCUCUUUCGUCCGGGACGAUAAUGACGGUACCGGAAGAAGAAGCCCCGGCUAACUUCGUGCCAGCCGCCGCGGUAACAC
rnacentral:rRNA from 1 species